UCUUGUCCCCCACUCCAGCCCCGCUGCUGAUGACAUCUCCUCCCGUCCUGUGUCAGCGCUGUGACACUAGCAGGAGGAGGUGUGGGGGCGGGACCAGCAAAGGACGGCUUCGGGAGCAGAGAGCUGCAGUCACAGCUGACUGCAGUUCUGCCAGGAGCCACUAGAUGCCCCCACUUCUAUGGACGGAGCCAUCUCAUCACCUGAGGACUCAGGAACAAACGAGAGACUGCUGCCUGGGGCCAGUACAGAGGAACUAAAUUGUUUGCUACAGGGCUGUAACCAGGUGUGCGCGGACAGUGCAUGGCACACAGCACAAUUGGCCUCUACCUGCUAUCUACCUGCUAUCCUCUUUGCAUGCUGCUGGGUCAUUACGGCAGCGAUCGGAGCUGGGGGAUUUACAGUGGACGGCUCCUGAAAUGCAGGCACUGGAGCAGCAGCUGUAGUUUUCCGGCUCCCAAUCCCCACACUUCUUAUGUGGUUCAGGGUGCAGCUACUUCCAUUGAUUUGGGUAGUGAAACUUAUAGCUAAAUAAAUGGAAUUUAAGACUUUUGCAUGAGUGGAAACACCCACUUAUCGUGCUGGACUAAAACGUUCACUGUUUGUCAGCAGAAAAUAUACCAUGUGAAUUCAACACUGUAGUUCAAUAACUCAGUUUACCUACCUUUAAAAUAAAAUAAUAGCUAUUAUAUUGUA